UACGAAGGGUGCAAGCGUUACUCGGAAUUACUGGGCGUAAAGCGUGCGUAGGCGGUUUGUUAAGUCUGUCGUGAGAGCCCUGGGCUCAACCUGGGAAUUGCGAUGGAUACUGGCAAGCUAGAGUACGGUAGAGGAUGGUGGAAUUCCCGGUGUAGCGGUGAAAUGCGUAGAGAUCGGGAGGAACACCCGUGGCGAAGGCGGCCAUCUGGACCAGUACUGACGCUGAGGCACGAAAGCGUGGGGAGCAAACAGG
rnacentral:rRNA from 1 species